rnacentral:rRNA from 1 species
AUACGUAGGGAGCGAGCGUUGUCCGGAAUUACUGGGUGUAAAGGGAGCGUAGGCGGGAGUGCAAGUCAGAUGUGAAAUACAUGGGCUCAACCCAUGGGCUGCAUUUGAAACUGCAUUUCUUGAGUGACGUAGAGGUAAGCGGAAUUCCUGGUGUAGCGGUGAAAUGCGUAGAUAUCAGGAGGAACACCGGUGGCGAAGGCGGCUUACUGGGCUUUUACUGACGCUGAGGCUCGAAAGCGUGGGGAGCAAACAGGAUUAGAUUCCCUGGUAGUCCACGCUGUAAACGAUGAUUACUAGGUGUGGGGGGACUGACCCCUUCCGUGCCGCAGUUAACACAAUAAGUAAUCCACCUGGGGAGUACGGCCGCAAGGUUGAAACUCAAAUGAAUUGACGGGG